GCCCAGAUGCUGAGCUGGAUCUCCAACGGAGCGUGCAGGCCGUGCUCCGGGAGCUCGGCGCCCAGGCCCCGUCCCUGCAGAGCAACCAAGGUAAAAGCCAGCAGGCAGCCUCUGCCACGAUCUCUCCCAACCACCUUCCCAACCCCCCCCGGCGAACCAAAUUCCCCUCGACCCUCUGCGCCCGCCAGACUCCCAGAAACGCGGCCCCGGGCGCAGACCUACAAACAUCGCCGGUCCCUAAGCCACAGGCAUACACCUGUGUCCCCCUAGUGUCCCUCUGCCUGCCUUUCCGCCCUGAGAGGCCCCUGUCCUCAAAAAUCAGCAGAGCAGAAUUCCACGGGUGAGAAGUCCAGCCAUGUGGCCCCAGGGCCAGAUGCCCAGCUGAGGGGUCAGACUCGUGGUUGGUCAGAGUCACGGUCUGGGGCUCCAGGGCGCAGGGUCCCGCUCCGGGGGUCCCCCGCUAAGAGCCCCCUGCCCCACCUACGUGUGCCGGGCUCCCCUUUCUCCCGGCCAGGCAUGUGGAGAUGGUCCCUGCAUAAGAAGGUGGAGCGAGAUCCUGGAAAGAGUCCGGCUCUGGUCCGCAUUCUGCUCAGAGAACUGGAGAAGGUGGGUUCUGGGCUUCGGGGAGGCGGGCGGGGGUAGGAGAGAGGGAGAGGGAGAGAGAGACCCAGCCAGCCGCGGCCUCGGGGCCAUCAGAGCCGCGUCCCCCAGACUCCGGUCACUUGUGGGCUGUCAGCAUGAUGUUUGCCAGCCGUGUCUCCCUCCUGCACGCUUCUGUCAGUGAGAUUUUCUUGAUCCUGACUCUCUUUACUUCACUUGACUUAGCCCGUUCCCCCAGGACCAUAAAUGGAAAAGCCCCCACUGGCAGAGAGACAGAAUACCGAUAAACAUAAGUGCCUAUUUCUUAUGACCUUUUCUUUUUUUUUUUUUUUGACGUGAUUUUUUAUUAACACUGAAUAAAAAAAUAAUAUCCACUCUGGCUGUCUCCUGCAUUGCAAGGGGAAGAGUGGGGGGAGGGCCUGGCACUUCCCGCCCCCGCCCCCCAGGCGCAGGGCAAGCCCCGCCUCCGGGGCUCCCCUGCUUCCCUUAGGGUGACGUUUUCAAAAUCGUUCUUGGACCGCCGAAAGUGACCCUCCACACCACCCCAUGCCCCCUCCCCCGGGCCCCCAGACCAGUAAAUGCCCUGCGAUUCUCCUGUUUUCCAGGCAGAGAGCGAAGACAUCCGGCAUGCGAUCAUUCCCUUGCUGCACACGCUAAUGUAUGUGCUCACUAAGGUGAGCGUGACGCCGAGGGUCAGGGCGGUCGUGGCAACCCACACGUGGCAGGGCCAGACACUGUCCUCUCCCGCAGGAGACACGCAGUCUCUGCCUGGGCGCGCCUAGGAGAGCUCUUGGGUGGCCUGCCCCAAACCGUCUUCUCCACACUCGCGGUGCCCUGCCCCUAAUACACAAAGCGGGCUACUGGGGAGGAAGUUGGGAAAGCGGUGCGAGCGGGAGGCAUGAGAGCCUCGAAUGCCGGAAUGGGGUCCUCGGGAUUGCUCCCAUGCGCCCCGGGGGCCAUCACUGAUGCCUGCUUAGGAAAGGCACGAGCCACGGAGAAAAUGUCUCGACAGCGGCGAUCAGGAGCUGUGUACGAUCGCGGGGGGUGGGAGAGGGCAGCGAGGGAGAUGAGGGGCACAGAGAACAGUUCGGGGGCUGCCGGGAUCCGGGGGCAGGAGGGGGCUGGGCUCGGGCCAAGGCAGAAGGCGCAGGAGGAAGCGGACCCCGUGGCCACCGCACUGGGAGCGUCAUGCCUGCGGGAUAUCGCGCCCAGCAGGCUGGAGACGAGACUCCAGGUUUUCAGCCUAGAGCCCCGCAGGAAUGCGCUGCCCGGACAAGCGGAGGGGAGGGGAGGGGAGUGGAUUUGCUAGCAGGACAGGGUGAGACGGAUCCCCUUUGGGGCGAGUUUGAGUGGGGUGUCCGAGAGGUGUCUUUCAGGUGCCGGGCGAAGAGACUAGGGGUGUACGUUUGGGAGGGAGGUGUGAGCCCAGGUCUGGCUGUCAGACCUGCCUUUCCUCCUCUCCACCCCACCCUCCCACCCACCCAGCACCCUUUGUGACCUAGGGCUCUGGGCACCCAACUCCUCCCUCCCACCCAGGCCACGGGCAUCACGGAGGAGCUCUACCGGAGAACCUACACCUUUUGCACAAGGUUGCUAACCCUGCCCGCCCCCUACUGCACGGUCGCCUUGGACUGCGCCAUAAGGCUGAAAACCGAGACCGCUGUCCCAGGUGAGAGCUGUCCCAGGUAGGAGCUGUCCCAGGUAGGACCUGUCCCAGGUGAGGUCUGUCCCAGGUGAGAGCUGUCCCAGGUGAGACCUGUCCCAGGUAGGACCUGUCCCAGGUGAGGUCUGUCCCAGGUGAGAGCUGUCCCAGGUAGGAGCUGUCCCAGGUAGGACCUGUCCCAGGUAGGAGCUGUCCCAUGUGAGAACUGUCCCAGGUAGGACCUGUCCCAGGUGAUACCUGUCCCAGGUAGGAGCUGUCCCAGGUGAGGUCUGUCCCAGGUAGGACCUGUCCCAGGUGAGGUCUGUCCCAGGUGAUACCUGUCCCAGGUAGGAGCUGUCCCAGGUGAGAACUGUCCCAGGUAGGAGCUGUCCCAGGUAGGACCUGUCCCAGGUGAGACCUGUCCCAGGUAGGAGCUGUCCCAGGUGAGGUCUGUCCCAGGUAGGACCUGUCCCAGGUGAGGUCUGUCCCAGGUGAUACCUGUCCCAGGUAGGAGCUGUCCCAGGUGAGACCUGUCCCAGGUAGGAACUGUCCCAGGUGAGACCUGUCCCAGGUAGGACCUGUCCCAGGUGAGGUCUGUCCCAGGUGAUACCUGUCCCAGGUAGGAGCUGUCCCAGGUGAGACCUGUCCCAGGUAGGAGCUGUCCCAGGUGAGGUCUGUCCCAGGUAGGACCUGUCCCAGGUGAGGUCUGUCCCAGGUGAUACCUGUCCCAGGUAGGAGCUGUCCCAGGUGAGACCUGUCCCAGGUAGGAACUGUCCCAGGUGAGAACUGUCCCAGGUAGGAACUGUCCCAGGUGAGACCUGUCCCAGGUAGGAGCUGUCCCAGGUAGGACCUGUCUCAGGUGAGACCUGUCCCAGGUAGGACCUGUCUCAGGUGAGACCUGUCCCAGGUAGGAGCUGUCCCAGGUAGGACCUGUCCCAGGUGAGACCUGUCCCAGGUGAGACCUGUCCCAGGUAGGAGCUGUCCCAGGUGAGACCUGUCCCAGGUAGGACCUGUCCCAGGUGAGAACUGUCUCAGGUAGGAGCUGUCCCAGGUGAGACCUGUCCCAGGUGAGACCUGUCCCAGGUAGGCGCUGUCCCAGGUGAGACCUGUCCCAGGUAGGCGCUGUCCCAGGUAGGACCUGUCCCAGGUGAGACCUGUCCCAGGUAGGCGCUGUCCCAGGUAGGAGCUCUCCCAGGUGAGACCUGUCCCAGGUAGGAGCUGUCCCAGGUAGGACCUGUCUCAGGUGAGACCUGUCCCAGGUAGGAGCUGUCCCAGGUAGGACCUGUCCCAGGUGAGACCUGUCCCAGGUGAGACCUGUCCCAGGUAGGAGCUGUCCCAGGUGAGACCUGUCCCAGGUAGGAGCUCUCCCAGGUGAGACCUGUCCCAGGUGAGAGCCGGCUCAGGUAAGAGCUGCAGUGCAGCUACAUCCACGGUCUUGCUUUUCCUCCGAGGUUCCUGGAGCUCAAAAGUCCCAGCACCUUCUGUGGAGGGUGCGAAAUGGGGGUCAGAGACCAGAAGCCGGUUGGCUGAUGCGGUCUGCUUUGCAGGGACACUGUACCAAAGGCUGGUCAUUGCCGAGCAGAACCUGACGAGUGAGCUGUACCCCUACCGGGAGAGGUGAGUGACCCCUGGCAGCAUGCUGGCUUCCGCCCCCUCCAGGUGUUGGGACGCCAUGACUGCUCACUGAGGGGGACAAGGCUGGGUGGAGAGGAACCCCAGCAGAGUUUCCUGUCCAUGGCAUUUGUCCCGGGGGGAGUGUAUUUGCAAGGGUGGGCGGGGCCUGCCUUCUCUGGAGAUCACAGGAAGCAGGGUGGUGGGUCUGUCCUCUGGGGCUGGCUCAGAGCCCUCCCGCUCACAUGCAGAAGGUGACACGAGCACUGGGCCAGCCUGGAGUUCUGUCGUUCCACCUCCGUCCCGCCCUUGGCCAUGAUGCAGCAUCAGCCGGCCAGCCAGCUGGCCAGAGGUGGCUCCCGGCUGCUUACGGUCCAGGCCACAGUCACACCGUGAAAUCUGGGGCUUUCGUCUGUGCCUGGCCCUUCGGAUAAGAUUGAGGAAAUGUCUGCUGUUGGUGUGGGGAAGAGGGGCCGGUCAAGUUGGGGGUGCCGCUGCUGACCCGGCCCUGGAAGGUGUGGCUUGAGGCUGUGUUCAUGGGGGGUGCAGGGAGGUGAGGUGGAGAGACCCAGAGGAGCCGGGAGCCAGGAAGGAGAGCAGGGGCGGGAGGGAGAGCCAGGCGCUGGCAUGAUAGGGUGAUGGGAGGAGGCAGGGCUCACUCAGGGUCCAGAGUCCGCUUGGGCAGGAAGGAAUUAGGGUCCCUCCUGGAGGGCGAUGUCAUCAGUGGACCACAGAGCUGAGGGGGUGGGGGACAGGAUUUAGCUUGGGACUUGCCUGGACGCGAGACUAGGGGGCACCAACGGGGGCCAGCUGUUCCUGCCUGCUCUCUGAUUUGCCACAGUCCCCACUCCUCCCUAUUGCUGUCCCCCCCGAGACUUCUUUUUUAAGUUUAUUUAUUUUUGAGAGAGGGCAGCGCAGAGAGAGAGGGAGAGAGAGAAUCCCAAGCCGUGAGCGCAGAGCCCGAGGCGGGGCGCCACCCCACCAACCGCGAGAUCAUGACCUGAGCCGACAUCAAGAGUCUGACCCUCAACCGACUGAGCCAUCCAGGCGCCCCAACCCCCAUAGACUUUGGAAUCCGAGGCUCCUGUUUUUGGAGGAACAAAAUACUCGGGGGCUGCAGGGCUCCACGCUGCCCUUCCAGGCGCUCUCCCCGCCGCAGCCAUCCUCUGCAGCAACCCCCCCCCCCCCACCUCUGCCCUCAGAGCAUUCCUCUUCGUGGACCCCGAGCUGGUGUCCCCGUCCGUGUGCGGCGCGCUGCUGCUGGAGCUCGAGGCGGCGCAGGCGCAGCAGACGCCCGAGGCCUGCAUGCGCCACGUGGUCGCCCACGCCCUGCAGGCCGCCCUGGGGGACGCCUGCCACGCAGGCGCUCUGCAGAGGAAGCUGCAGGUAACCGCCCCGCCCCAGCCCUCCUUGGCUGCGCCCGGGGCCCUGCACGCACACGCCAGCCCUCCUCCCCAUCUGCUCUCCUUCUCCCCGGUUCAGACCACCCUUGCCCCCUCAAUGCCGAAGGAGUACGCACUCGUUAAGGAAAAUCCGGGGCGGGAAUGCACGCAGGCCAAAAGAGGAAAGAAAAAUCGCUCACACCCGCGCACCCAGAUGUAUUCCCAAUCGACGUUUUGGUCUGUUUCCUUAAUAAUACAGACGACGAUAACCCGGACAGGUGCUGUCGACUGAAUGUCUGUGGUGUCCCAGGCACGGCGUUAGACACUUUUUACAUGUAUCACAUUUAAAAAAGGCUCACCACGUGUCGACAACAUUGUGAAAUGGGUAUAAUCAUUAAAACUGGGGCACAGAGAGGUUGAUAACCUGCCCGUGGUCACACAGGUACAAAGUGACUGGGUCAGGAUUUGAACCCAGGUCUCUCCGACCUCAAACUUAUGUUCCAUCGCCUCCCGGCCCCACAGCCCCACCACCCUUUUUUAGCAGGAGAUACCAAACUCUGUAUACAGUUGUCCCAAAUUGGGGUGAGAGGCCGGGCCUCAGUACUCCCGCACCUAUUAAUUAUUGGACGUGGACGGUCCUCAGGAAGGGACAUGACCGUGGAGAGUGGCAUUUUUUUUUUUUUGCCGGAGGCUGACUAUGGAAAGGGACUCAGCUGACAGCUGACGGUUGCUAAUGCUCCCAGCAGCGGGGCUAAUGAGUGCCUCAGUCUUGAAGGUGGGAAUCCGGGGAGCCACCAUGGCAUUUAUCACACUGUUGCACAUGGAAUCAAAGCCAAAGACAUCUCAAUGGCCUACAAGACCCUCGAGAUCUGUCCUACCUCCUCGCUUCCUCUCUGAUUCCAUCUGAUUCCAUCUUCUGUAGUUUCCCUCUCUUCCUCUCUGCUCCAGCUACAUAGGUCUCCCUAUUGUCCCUCAAACAUGCCAGGCAUGCUUACACCCCAGGGCCUUUGCACAUGCCGUUUCCGAUGCUUGGAACAUUCUCUCAGAUAUCCACACGGCUCGCUCUCUCACUUCCUUUAGGACUUUACUCAAAAGUCACCUGUCGGUGAGACCUCCCUGAUCACAUUAUCUAAAAUGUCAGCCCCUGCCCCCAAUUUCACAUCCUUCUACUCUGCAAUUUAUCGUAUUAUAAAUUUUACUUCUCUUGUUUAUUAUCAUGGGGGGGGUGGAGAGAGAGAGACAUACACUAUAAUAUAAACUCCCUGGGAACAGGAAUUUUUAUCCAUUUUGUUCACAGCUGUAUCCCAGCAUCUAGAACAGGGUCCGUUUUGUUCACAGCUGUAUCCCAGCAUCUAGAACAGGGUCUGGCAUGUCGUGGGUGCUCAAUAAAUAUUAGUGUAUUUAUAAAUUGAGCAACGAGAUGAAAUGGACCCGAUGGCCCCUUCUAACUCUGAUUCGGUCAUCUUCUCGUUGCAUUAUCUGUUCGCUCCACAAGUGUUUAUCGGGGCCCUAGCCACCCAGAAUGACCCUCCCUCCCUUAAGCAGGAAGUUAGGAUCCCGCUCAGCAGACCCCCCCCCCCCCCCAGCACAGACCAGAGAGGAAAACAAGCCCUGGUGUGCAGACAACAUAAUGCAGGGCUCUUCUCAGGGUUUCGGAUCUGCACCACGGGAGGGAGGAGCUGAAGAGCAUGGGAUUGCCCAGUGAGAAGCUUUCAAAACCUGUUCCCAUCCAUUCCCAUUAAGGAGAAAGGCUCAGCUUGGUGUUCUACCCCUAACUUCUUUAACAGUCCCUUCCCUUUUUCUUUUUUUUAAGUUUAUUUAUUUUUGAGAGGGAGAGAGAGAGACAGAGAGACAGAGUGUGAGCAGGGGAGGGGCAGAGAGAGAGGGAGACACAGAAUUGGAAGCAGGCUCCAGGCUCUGAGCUGUCAGCACAGAGCCCGACGCGGGGCUCGAACCCACAAGCCGCGAGAUCAUGACCUGAGCUGAAGUCGGAGGCUUAAACCGACUGAGCCCCCCGGGCGCCCCUAACUUCUCUUUUUAAAAAGAGAAGGCAAGCUUCCAGCCAUAAAGCCUUGGCAGGCUGGCGCUUAAAAAUAGGGGUUUGUGAUGAUUAUAUUCAUCUUGGUUAUUUUUCUAAGUGGGACGUGUGACUCUAGCCUUUUUAUAUAGAUUACCAACAUAAAUUGUCCUUCUGAAAUAGCUGGGAACCAAAGUGAGCUGAUUGAAAGAACAAGGGCGAGAAAAUAAUCAUACAGCAACUAUUUAGGGAGCACCCCCCACGCGCCAGGGCGUGUUCUAGGCGCUGCGGAUGCCGCUGUAAACAGACUGCCUUCCUGGAGUUUACAUCCAGGCGGGGGCAGAAGACUGACCCAAGGGAGGCCCUCCCUGCCCCUCUGGGGUCCCGCCGUUGCGGGGCAGCCCCGUGUGGGGGACAGAGAGGACGCUCAGGUGUGGGCAGCAUCGGGCAACCUCGGAGCCCGGGGGGGUGGGGGGGGUGGGGGGGGGAGGCUGGGCCGGGACCCAGGCUCUGGCGCCCCUCCCCGACAGGCCAGCCCUCGCCAGGCCCUGGAGCGCUAUUUCCACGCCGUGGUGGCAGCCGUGGAGCAGAUGGCCAGCGAGCCCAGCCCGAGCCGGGAGGGACACCUGGAGAGGCUGGAGGAGAUUUACUGCUCGCUGCUGGGGCCGGAGGCGGCCGCNGGCCGCCAGGGGGCGCUGCGGCGGUAAGCGGGCGGGGGCGGCGAGGCCCGGCGAGGGCCCGCAGGGGGGCGCCGGAGAGCAGCGCUGCACCCGCCGCGCGUGGCUGAGGCGGGCGGGCCUGGGGACCGAGGGCCGCCCGGGGAACUUGGACGGUCCCGGGCUAAGCAGGCAGAGAGGAAGCCUGGACGGGACCAUAUGGGGGAGAGAGGGUCUCUGCACGCCCCCCGCGCCCUCCAGGAGCCGCAGGGGAGGGCAGAGGAGAAUCCCACAGCCCGCCCCCCCCCNNCCCCCCCCUUCUUUCAGGCGACCCCCUGCAGUCCCCGCAGCCAAACAUCCCUCUGCCCAGCCCCCACAUCACCUUCCACCUGUGGACGGAUGAAGAACAGCUCUGUAAGUGCCUCACACCUCCUCCCUGCAGAGCUGAAGGGAAAUGAGUGUGUGCGUGUGUUUCUCACUGUGUGCGUGUGCAUGCGCGUGUCUGUGUUUGUGUGUGUGCGUGCAACUGUGCCUUCGUGGGCCUAUAGGUCUGUGUCUGCGUGACUGCGUGUAUCACGUGUGUGUAUCUAUUUAUGUCCUUGCGUAUGUGUGUGCACAUCUGUGUGUGUGUGUGUGCGCCUUGCUCCCUGAGCUGUUCUGCACGUCUGGAGCAACGCAUUUUCUCUAUGCUAGAAGAGCUCGGUGCCUUAGCCACUGGCCUCACCUAGAAAGGGCCACAUGCCCAAGCUGAUGCCGACAGACAAUGAAUGUCCCCAAGAAGGAGGCGGUCACACAGAAGUUACAGUUCCAGGAACUGGAGGGGUCUUUCCAGAGAGAUCUGCUUGCCUCACACUUCUGUCCACACUGGCCUUCCCCUCACACUGUCCCUGGCUCUUCUCAAGAGAGGUGGGGGUCGGUGGUGGGGGUUGGGGGAAGUGCUGGCUGGUGAACUAGGCCCAAGUCCCUCCUUGCACGGGCUGGGUCAUCCUAGACUGCCUCUGUGUUCUCGCUGGGCCUCAGUUUCCUCGUGGGUAAUAAAAUGAAAGUAGAUUAGAAAAGCCUAGGGGCACCUGCGUGGCUCAGCGGUUAAGCGUCAGACUUCAGCUCAGAGCAUGAUCUCACCGUUUGUGAGUUCGAGCCCCGCGUGGGGCUCUGUGCUGACAGCUCAGAGCCUGGAGCCUGCUUCGGAUUCUGUGUCUCCCUCUCUCUCUUCCCCUCCCCUGCUCAUGCUCUGUCUCUCUCUCUGUGUCAAAAAUAAACAUUAAAAAAAAUAAUAAAAAUAAGAAAACAUUUCUCAAAAGAAGGAAAGAAAGAAAGAAAAGCCUAGAAGUCUUUCCUGGAGUAGGCAGGGUCUGCUCUCUGUGUCCCAGGGGAAGCCACAGACAAGAAGAGGAUAGGAGGAAGCUAAUAAAGAGGGCUCCAGAGUCAGCGAAGGGGAAGGUACCGAGUGUUGCUGACUACUGCAGGACUUCUCAGAGCCUUGAGUACAUGUACUCAACACGAGGUGUCAGGAAUAUGCGGGCUUCGCCAUCUCUGUUCACCGCAGGACCUUUGUUCCUUCGCGGGGCAUCUUAUGGGGCUUCUGUCCAGCUGAACGGUGUUUGAGAAACACGGGAGCCCAGGCCUUGCAGGGGUGAGGCCCUGCCAGCCUCCUCUGACCUCUCUCCUCCCCGCUCCCCGCAUCCCAGGGAAGGAACUGGUGCUCUUCCUGCGCCCGCGAUCCCAGCUGUGCCUCAGCGCCGACUUGGAGGCCUUGGAUCUGCAGGGCCUCUGGCCGGACCGGGAGCUGGCCCGGGUGUCCAUGCUGUCCACAGACAGCGGCAUCGAGCGGGACCUUCCUCCGGGGGCUGACGAGCUGCCCCUACCCGGCAGCCCCGAGAUGGAGCGCGCCAGGCUGCAGCGCAAAGGCGGCGUCAAGAAGCGGGUGCGGCUCCCGGACGUCUUGAUGCCCGCGUGCUGGGACGGGCCCCCGGGUCUACACCGCAGGACGGGCAGGCCCAGUGGGGACGGGGAGCUACUGCCUGGUGUGUCGCGGCUUCACACGGCCAGGGUGCUGGUGCUGGGGGACGACAGGAUGCUGGGGCGCCUGGCCCAGGCCUACCACAGCCUCAGGUAGGGCCCGGAGGGGGGCGGGGCGGGGCGGGGCGGGGCGGGGGGCGGGGCUGCGUCAGACCCAGCUCGCCGCCGCCGCCAGGGGGCACUGCGCUCACCAGCUCGGCGCUGUACGUUCUGGCGAGCCCGGCAGUCCUCGUCAGUACACCGCGCCCAUUCUGCAGAUGAGAAAACGGGUGCCGAGAGAUUGAGUAGGUCGCUCACAGGCAAGAGAGAAUACAGAGCAGAACCAGGAUGUGGAACCGUUGGAAGCGCAAACCCCUGCCCUGACGCCUGUGUUCCGCCCUCUUUGCUAGGAAACGAGAGACCCAGAAGUGCUGCCUCACCCCCAGGCUCAGUCUACAGCUGUACUACAUCCCCGUGCUGGCACCCGAGGUGGCUGGGCAGGGGAGGGGGGAGGCACGUCGGGGAGGACGUGGGAGGGGCGUCCCCUGCCUCAGGGGCUGGGCAGGGGGCACGCUUUAGCCCCAUCCCUGGCCCCAGGGACUCGGAUCACCCUUCCUUAGGAUGCGGGGCUGGGGGAGCCCUUUGAUCUGUUGGGGGCCAGACUCGCCUUGGCGGCUUUUCAAUUAUUCGAUUGCCCCGCUCUGCUUGCUUAGUGGGGAGCAUUCAAUUCCAAGCAGUAUUUGUCUCUCUACUUCCAAGGCUGAAGAUCGUCGUUCAAUGUCCCCAGCAAGCGGUCCUCAGUUAAGGGUUUACCAGCUUCAUCUGAGGUAUAAGACCUAAUAGGCUUCACGUGGCAGAGAAAGCGAGGCCCCAAGAGGUUCAGUGAUCGGACCGUAAUCCCAAGGCCAGUUUGCGGAGGGGACCCUCUGGCCAGAGACCCGGCCUGAUGGGUCUGCCCCGUCCCCUUGUCCCCAGAAACAGGCAUCAUGCAGACACUCGGAGCUCAGAGAGCUGGCCACAUUCCUGGGCCGCGCAGACCCGUGGUACGAGAGCACCGUGAACACACUGUGCCCGGCCAUCCACAAGCUGGCAGAGAUGGUAAGGGGGCAGCGAGGGCGGGAGGGGGGGCAUUUCAGAUGUUACCCUUGACCCUUGACCUCAAGGGUCAACCCCAGGGCGCCCCCCCCCCCCGGGGGUGGGAUGAGGCCAGAAGGAAAAAUGGAAGCUGGUGGUCGAAAUUCCCCCAGGCACCUGCUUUGGGUGGAACACCGGGGAGACCAUCGAGCAAAACAUUCUUUCCUUAGUGUGUAGGCCAAGGUGCUUCCUGGGACGGCCUCUCCAUGAGUGUAAUAGCCCGUGUUUCCUGAGCACUUACGGGUGCCAGGCGCUGUUCAAGGGCACUCGCACUCCACGGCCCUAUCAAGUAGGCACUCUUGUCGGCAGGUGCGAGUGUAGCCAUCUCCCCACUUUACAGACCACACUACUGAGGCGCGAGAUUAGGGAACUUGUCCAAAGUAAAAAGGCGAGAGGUGGACUCCCACCCGGAACCGGACAGCUUGAUUCCAGGUAGGCGGCUCGUGAGUUCAUCUUCCAGUGACUUGAAAAGAUCUUCAUAUAUUAAGAGAAUCUCUUUUUUGUUUUUUCAAGUAAACUCCACCCCACCCCCCAAUGUGGGGCUCGAACUCACAACCCUGAGAUUAAGGGUCGCUGGCUCUACGCGCUGAGUGAGCCAGGCAGGUGCCCCUACUACUAAGAGAAUCUUAACCUUUUAGCCGUCAGGUGUUGCCGAUGUUUUUUUCCACUGUUAUUUGCCUGCGAAUUUCAUCAGCAGUGUUUUCUGACUUACAGAAAUUUGAUAUAUUUUUUCUUUACUUAUUUUUUUAAUGUUUAUUUAUUUAUGAGAGACAGAGCAUGAGCAGGAGAGGGGCAGAGAGAGAGGGAGACACAGAGUCCAAAGCAGGCUCCAGGCUCCGAGCUGUCAGCACAGAGCCCAAUGCGGGGCUCGAACUCGCAAACCGUGAGCUAUGACCUGAGCGGAAACCAAGAGGCGGACGCUCCACCGACUGAGCCCCCCGGGCGCCCCCAGAAGUUUAAUAUUUCUAUGUCACACUCAGAACUUUUAUCCUUUGAGAGACCUGCCUUUGGAGUCCUGCUUUGAAGGUUCUCCUCUGCUGAUUAAAUUACAUCCAAGAGUAGAUAAAUAUUCCCUGAUGAUUUACUGUAACUCUUUUAAUGCCUCGGUUUUCACAUUUAAAUUAACGUGCCUGCGACUGGUUUCAGUGCUUUGUGUGAAGCAUGCGAAUGUCUUUUUUCCAAAUGUGUAGCCAGUUGUCCUAAAGCUAUUUAUAGCACAAGCCAUCUUGCCCCAUCAGUCUGAAAUGCCACUUUUCUCGUUUACUAAAUUUUUAUUCUUUCUUGUUGAUCCAUUCAUCUCCGGACACAUUAGUACUUUCAUAUUUUAAUAGCAGGCAGGAUAAACCGACUUCAUUACUCUUCUUCCGGAAAAUGUUUCAGACUAUAUCUGUUUCCAGAUAAAUAUUAGAAUUUUGUCAAGUGUUUUUUUUUUAUUUUUUUUUUAACGUUUUUAUUUAUUUUUGAGACAGAGACAGAGCAUGAACGGGGGAGGGUCAGAGAGAGAGGGAGACACAGAAUCCGAAACAGGCUCCAGGCUCCGAGCAGUCAGCACAGAGCCGAUGCGGGGCUCGAACUCACGGACCGAGAGAUCAUGACCUGAGCCGAAGUCGGACGCUCAACCAACUGAGCCACCCAGGCGCCCCUGUCAAGUUUUUUUUUUUAAUCCACCCCACUCCCCCACCACCUUGGGAUUUUGAUUGAAAUUUGGAAGAGACUUAGCCUCUUUAGCGUGUUAAGUUACUCCCUGUGGGAGCACGGGAUUUAUCUUUAUUUACAAAAGUCUUGUACGUCCCUCAGGAUAGCUACACUUUUAGCAUGUUUUUCUUGCUGAAUCUGCUCCUUACGUUUGAUGGCUUUUUUUUUUUUUUUUGUAGUUGUGGGUGGUGUCUCUUUCCCCUUAUAUUUGGGUAGCACUUGCUGUUGUAUGAAGGAGUCUAUUGAGUUUAGCUACCUUAUUUUCUUUAAGUUUUUGUUUAAUGUUUAUUUAUUUUUGAAAGAGAGUGCAAACAGGGGAGGGGCAGAGAGAGAGGGAGGCACAGAAUCUGAAGCAGGCUCCAGGCUCCGAGCCGUCAGCCCAGAGCCCGACGCGGGGCUCGAACCCACGAACCGCGAGAGCAUGACCUGAGCUGAAGUUUGACACUUAACUGACUGAGCCCCCCCCCCAAACACUCCUAGGUACCUUAUAUUCUAAGUUGACACUUUACUGAGAUCUUUGUGUCAUUUUAUUGCCUGACUGAUUGGGGUUCUUUCUUAUACCUUCUAAUAAAAAUGUGGGGGGGGGGGGGGGCCUGUUUCCUGAAUUAUUGCUUACCUGAAAAGUGUCUUUGUGCAUACACAGAAGACUGGUUAGCCGAGUACUGAAAUACCUUUUCCUCAAAACUUGGAGGCUAUCAGGGGUGCCUGGGUGGUUCAGUCGGUUGAGCAUCUGACUCUUGAUUUUGGCUCAGGUCAUGAUCUCAUGGUUUGUGGGUUCGAGCCCCGCAUCGGGCUCUGUGCUUACAGUGCAGAGCCUGCUUGGGAUAUUCUCUCUCUCUCUCUCUCUCUCUCUCUCUCUCUCUCACGCUUUCUCUCCGCCCCUGCUUUGCUCCUGCUCAUUCUAUCUCCCCCAAAAUAAAAACACUUGGGGCACCUGGGUGGCUCAGUCGGUUGAGCGUCCAACUUCAGCUCAGAUCAUGAUCUCACGGUCUGUGGGUUCGAGCCCCGCGUCGGGCUCUGUGCUGACAGCUCGGAGCCUGAAGCCUGCUUCGGAUUCUGCGUCUCCCUCUCUCUCUUCCCCUCUCCUGCUUAUGCUUUGUCUCUCUCUCUCUCUCUCAGAAAUAAAUAAACAUGAAAACAUUUUUUAAUAAAUAAAUAAGGCUUGGAGGCUGUUAGGGGAGGAACAUCUGAUGCGGGUCUCACUUCUGCUCUUUGGUUGGUACCUUUUUUCCCGCCCCCAAGCCGGGACACAUGUAGAAAUCAGGGUUCCCCCUGCUUGCUUUGCCCUAAUAAUUAGCAGUUUGUAUGGCCCCCACACUUAGUCCAAACGCAGUUUCCACAUGAAGAGACUGGAAACAGUGUGAGAGAUACAUAGAUCGAUAGACAGAUCGAUCGAUCGAUAGAUAGAUAGAUAAUGAUAUAAUACUUGAAUACGACAAGAGCUAAAGGAGGCAGCAAAUCACCUCACCUCUCGGGCCCAAGGUCACCUGGCCAGUGAACGCCUAAUCCAAACCCGGAACUCAGUUCAGCCCCUGUGAUCAUUGGCUAUGUUCUCAAGCAUCUGGUCCUUGAGCUCCUUCCCUUCCAGCUAGAGGCGCCCCCUGUGUCUUUGUGCAAAGUGGAAUGCAUCAGAGGCCCUGGGGGGCCGGGACCCUGGACAGGUAUAUUUGCCUGAGGAGUAGACAUCAGGCGGUCAGCAGGGCCUGGACUGCAUUGAGGGACCAGUUGGGUUUAGUGCCUCACAGAGGGGACACUGGAGCCUUGGAGCUUCUCCGUUCCGAAAACAGCACCUCCCACCAUAGCCCGGAGGGUGGCGGCUGAAGGCCUUCCCUGCCCCCCUCACAGCCUCCCUCCCUGGACACAUCCCGGACCGUGGACCCCUUCAUCCUCGAUGUCAUCACCUACUACCUUCGCAUGGGCACCCAACCCAUCUACUUCCAGAUCUACACAGUCAAGGUAAGUAUGGCCCUCCCCCCGCCCGCCGGGACCCCACCGCCAAAACACUCCGGCUCUGGGGAGACACGGGUUAGCAGGGCACACGUCACAGACCCACCCAGACGCUCCUGGUUGCUAACCGUGUCUUUCCAAUCUUUGGACGAAUCAGAUAAUCAUUAACUUCACAGGCAUGCGGCCUGAGCAGAAGUACAUCUUCGCGUGGAAAGAUGCUUUAGGCCUUGACCCCGCGGAGGGCUGGCGAUAGGGCUGCUGCGAAAGUUCUCCCCAGCAAUCGCUUCAUCUCAGAAAUCCUCAACGCUCACUGUCCAGUCUCUGAUCACACACUGCCGCCCCUGCGAGGCCCCCUCCCCUUCUCCCCCCCACCCCUCCGCCCCUGCGUCCUCGCUUCCCCUCUGUCUCCCCUCCCAGCAAAACCCGAGCCCAGGGCAGCGCUGAAGUGCGCCUCAGCUCUUGCUGAGCUCGGGGCCCCUGAGCACCUGCUAAAAGAUAAGCCGAAGCCCUCUGGCCGGACACGGAGGCUGUGUCCUUUCCCCGCCACAGUGGCUGUUCCCGCCUUCCCUGCUUUCCUUGAGUCCUCACUCUCAGCAAGUGGCUUGGCCACCCACUCCGCUGGGGGGAAAGUGGAGACCAUUAGGUGUCCCCAAAGCUUCUGUCCAUGCCUACGCCUGCAUGCACACCUCCCCAGCAGACAUGAAGCCCCCCACCCACCCACCAGUUCAGGCAAAACCCCAUGAUGCAUGCCCUUCCGGUCUGUUCCCGCCUCCUCCGGGACCGUCCCCCUCAACCUGAGAUUUCGGGAGGCGGCCUCUGCUGCUUCCUCUCUCGUUCCGGAUUCUCGUCCCUCUCUCUGCGUCCCGUGGUGGAAAUUUUCUUCAUGACCUUCCCCCUUUUUGACCUAAAUGAGGCAAUUAGCUCCUGUCGCUGGUUUCCAAAAGGCAAAAUGAAACAACCCGAGUCAAACAAACAGAUGGGAGUAAACCUCUCAGGCUGGUAAAGGGAGUAAACAUCUCAGCCGCGCAAAUAAAUUGAAAGGUUGGGCAUCCCGUCGCUGCCCUUUGGCCAGAGGCCCCCGGAGCAGUCCUUUGAUUGGAAAAGUGUCGGGAUGGGGCCCGCACACAGUCCUGUUUUUUCCUGUGUUUGUGACGGUGGCAGGGUCUGCUUCCUGUCUUGACCCAUCAGGGUCCCAGGGACGCCCCUCCAGCCCCAGAUUCCCAGCCCCAACCCAGAAUGGCUCAGCUCCCUCGAGCCCUUCCGUCCUGGCUGGUCUCGCCUUGCAAGUCAGGAAUGGGGUCCCCCUCUCUGGCCCUUCUGGCGUCCACAAGAGAUUUUCUCACACGGCCCCGCCCCUGUGUGAAUCGUGUGCCCCGUUCCUUCCGCGUUAGACCGUCGUGGUUGCAGACCGUCGAGGACGGCUUGGGUUCUGAUACCAGUGGCUUCCCCAUUUGUAAAUAUAUUACAUCACUGGACACCUGUGGACAGGCAGGUCCGGGAAGCCACUGCCCGGACGGUGGGGGCCCCGGCCCUGCUUCCUUCCAGAAGCUCUCCAACCGUCCACACCUCCUCCCUCCCUCCAGAUCUUCAGGGACCUGAGCCAACACCCUGCAGAGGACAUUUUUCUCACUGAGCUCAAGGUGAAGAUUCAAGACACCAAGCCCCCCAAAGGUGAGCAUCCUCCCUUCCCAGAGCUCACUGACGCAUCUCCGGCCAAGCCCUGUUUCUGGAACGUCCUCCCGCCUCUCACCUGAUGCCCCCCCCCCCAACUCCACCAAAUACCGGGGUGCCCUUGGCUCCUCCAAGCUUGCCUGGACUGGAACCCUCGAGAUGCUUCCUUUCCAUCCAAGGAGAGAUGCUGUCACCAUUCAGCAGCUCCGCUCGGCCUGGGUGAGGCGGGAGGGGCAGGAGCCUCCUACGCGAUUCAGCCUCUUCCCUCCUCCUCCCUCAGAUGGCUUUUCACCCAGGAGGAGGGGCGCAGCCGAGGGCCCAGGGGCUGAGCUCAACAUUUGCUACCAGAAGGUGAGUGGUUCGUGGGGGGCGGGGGGCUGCUCAGGAGGAGGUGGGAGGCACAGGGUUGGAAGCAGGCAUCAGGGACAGGCUGGUGGGAGCAGACAGACAGCCUUUGGAGAGUUUUGCAGGGAUGAGCAAAUUACCACGGGCCUUGCACGCAGCCGAGGAGGCCACGUGAUUUAAGGGACAAGGGGCCUGUCCUGUUGCUGGAGGAUGCCUUCCUCCCUAGCUGGCCAGAUGCUUGAACUGAUAGCAUGGGAGACGCGUCCCUUCGGGCCUGGGAGGCUGACCGUGCUCCCUGGGGCCAAGAGUGCUCUCCGCCUCUCCCCGCCAGCCCCGCCUUGGACACUGGUGACUCGGACAAGAAUCUCAGGGCAGGGGUGGGAAGCAGGACUGUUAACACGAGGGUGCCCGGGGGGACAGGGAUGUUCUGAGGACCCCCUUGGUGCCCGCAUCCCCCUCCAGGCCCUGCUCAGCCACCGGGCCCAAGAGGUCGCCGUUUCCCUGCGGGCCACUGGGCUGGUCCUGAAGACCUUUGCAGCCAGUGACACUGAAGGUAAGGAGCUGGAGAGAGAAGGCACGAGAAGGGGAUGGGCGGGGGGAGAAGGAAAAAGGGGUGAGUGACGGUAGAGGAGGUGACCCAGAGGAAUCGGGCCUCCCACCCAAUCCUGAGGUCGUGCAGGGCUGAGCACCGGGUGCCCGGGUGCGGCAUGGUAUCUGCCCUCACCUCGGGGGGACAUGCAACAGCAUUGGCCUCGGUCCUGCCCUGCAGCUGGAAGGCAGAGGGGCCACACGGAGGGGGUCCUGCCGCCCUCCUGCCUCUGUUGCGUCUGGAGAUGUUUUCUUCUGAAUGUCACUCCACCGGGGGCAGGUAAUCCCCAGUUCACCAAAGGCACCACCGGCCCAAACUCUCUAAUUUUAGCUAAUUACCUAAUAAUAGCUAUGUAUCUAAUAGAUAAUAAGAUAGUUUAUCUAACGCUCCAAAUCUAAAAUAGAGAUGUUAAAAAGAUACCAAUGUAAAUGCCGAUAGUGAAGGAUAAUCGUGAGCUGUUCCGUUAGCCCCCUGGUCUUCUGGAAGAAAGAAAAGUUCGGUGAUGUGAGUGAGGACGUCACCGAACCCAUUGAUCAGAGGCCGGGCAAUGUUCUGUGUCAAACACAUCGACUCUCCGAAUCCUGUGAGAUCGGCAUUAUUAAUACCAGCCGCUUUUUACCAGAGACGUAACUGAAGGCGGAGAAAUGCCGGAGGCCAGGUCACGUCCGUGAGGAAGGGUCAGAGCCCGGAUUCACACCCAGGCCAUCCGGGUGCUGGCUUUCAGGCAAAGGAAGCAGGGGACCCAGCAAGACCACCUUUAUUUGUGCAUCUUUUUUUUUCUUUAAUGUUUAGUUUAUUUUUGAGAAAGAGAGACAGAGUGUGAGCAGGGGAGGGGCAGAGAGAGAGGGAGACACAGAAUCCGAAGCAGGCUCCAGGCUCCGAGCCGUCAGCACAGAGCCCGAUGCCGGGCUCCAACUCAUGAACCAUGAGAUCAUGACCUGAGCUGAAGUCGGACAUUCAAGCGACUGAGCCCCCCAGGCGCCCCCCACUCGUGCACCCUUAACACCGCAAGGGAGACAUGUGACCCUGGGGAUAGCUCUUAGCCGAGAGGUGGGUCAAGAGCACAGGUUCUGGGUCGGGAUGGGGGCUGGCCUCCAGGUCCGGCUUUGCCAUUUACCAUCUGUGUGACCUUGGGCGAGUUCCUCGUGACCUCUCUACCGGUCCUUUCAUUUCUCAAGUGAAGAUGAAGUCCUCAUUCAUGUGCGUCUAGAAAACUAUCGUGUUCGCUCUAAUUGUUAAGUUGUAUUUCCCUCAUUUCCUUCACCAGCAUCCCCCCACCCGCCCACCCCCACGCUAACUUGCGCUCCUCCCAUUGAUCGCGUGCCGGGGGCUUCAGGAAGGGUCCACCGCACCUUCUUCCACGGAAAAGGGGUGCGGGAGGGGGUGCAGAAAGGCACGGGGAGGGGGCUGCCGUGACAGGGGAUACCCUGUGGGUCCCCCAGGGAAAGGCAGUGGAUGUUCAGGAAGGAACUGAAACGCGGUCGGGACCAAGGCGCAGUCAGGAAGUUGGGGGGGCCCGUUACAGCCACCUGCUUCCCAUCUUGUUCCCCCCAGUUUCUGGGCCCGCCCCCGCCCCGCCACCUGCUGUUCCCGUGACAGACCACACGUGCCUGAACGUCAGCGUGACGGAGGUCAUCAAGUCCUCCAACUUGGCGGGAAGGUCCUUCUCU
rnacentral:lncRNA from 1 species